UCAGAACGAACGCUGGCGGCAGGCUUAACACAUGCAAGUCGAGCGCUUAUUUUUAAUAGGAGCGGCAGACGGGUGAGUAACGCGUGGGAAUCUACCUUUUUCUACGGGAUAACGCACGGAAACGUGUGCUAAUACCGUAUACGCCCUGAGAAGGGGAAAGAUUUAUUGGAGAGAGAUGAGCCCGCGUUAGAUUAGCUAGUUGGUGGGGUAAAUGCCUACCAAGGCUACGAUCUAUAGCUGGUCUGAGAGGACGAUCAGCCACACUGGGACUGAGACACGGCCCAGACUCCUACGGGAGGCAGCAGUGGGGAAUAUUGGACAAUGGGGGCAACCCUGAUCCAGCCAUGCCGCGUGAGUGAAGAAGGCCUUAGGGUUGUAAA
rnacentral:rRNA from 1 species